ensembl:lncRNA
CUGGCAGGCACUGCCCAUGCUGACUGAAGCACGUAGGCAACUGAGUGUCCAUGAGUUGCCUCAGCUUUCACAUAAAGUCUCCUCAUUGCACAUUAACACUAAGUCACUAUCCUGUUAGCAAAUAACCCUGGUAUCCAGUGUUUGAUAAGACAAAUAUUUGAACCAGGUGACAUUCAAGUAUUUUUAUAAAGUAACAUUUUGAAUAAGGCAGCUCUCACAGUUGCUUGGGUGGUAGCAAUUGAUUUUUUUUGUCAUGCAAAUGGAAUGUUGCCUACAGCUGGGAAAAACCCAACUUUCGGGAUAUUCUGGAAAAGUUUUUCUGACUUCUACAGCUUUUAAAAAUAAUUGGAAAGGAAAGACAUGCUGGGAAGAUGAGAAGGAAAGUUGUCUAUAUCAGAGGCCAGCUGAAAUGCAUGAAGCACUGCCUGGGGAUGGAAGAUGAGCUAGCUGAGAACUUAAUGUCUGUGUGUGUUCAUCCAUGAUUUCGCUUCAAAAUGGAAGUUCUUCAUGGAAUAGAUGAUUGUAUUGUUUUAUAAGGAGCUAGCACUAUGAUUGACAGCUGAAGAUUCUACAUAAAACACAGAAAGAAUGACCAAGGACAAAUUUCUGGUGGAGGGCUGAAGUCACAUACCAGUCAAGAAAGAGAUGGAGAAUGUUUAGCUCUGGAAGCAGGUCUGGAAAUAAAAGUGAAGGAACUGAACAGAAAAAAAUGGUGAUUGGAUUUAAUGGACUUUGCAUUUGUAAGAGACUAUUCUUUUAUAUGAUUGACUCAAAGUUUGCUGAGGAACAAGUCCAGGCAAGUCCUGGGCAAAGGUAGAGAAAUCUUUUGUCUUGAGGACACUGAUGGACAGGUUCUGGCUAAGGACUGUGAAAUCCUCUAAGGAUCACAGAUGGACAAGGCCAGGGGCAACGAGAGAGAGAUAAGCUGCUGCUAAUGGCCGGGAAAUGGUCUUUUUGUGUGGACUUAUCUCGAGGAAGAUGGCCAUCUCAGGAGGUAUGCACCCAGGGAUGUCAUGUAGGCAGGAGAAAAUGGAGGAUAAAAGAGGGUUCAACAACCACGGCAAUGUAGAGGCUUAUCUCUCACCACGACAGACUUGAGGGGUUCUCUGCCAUCUGGUCCUUCACCACAACAGUGGAGGCUGAUCUCUCACCGCAACACAGAGGCUGAUCUCUCAUGAUCUCUCACCACGACACGAGCUUUUUGCCUUCAGAUCCUUCUCUACGGACCGUUUGCUGAUGGACUUCCCUGGGCAUGCUACCUGAGACCUGCUGCUUCCUCCCUGACCUGCACCCUCUCGUUGCCCAAGACCGGCCUCGCUGCUCCUGCCCUUUGGCCUCGGACCGUCGGAACAUCGUGUAACGGGACUGCUGCCGGAUCCUGGUGGUGACUAUCCCCGCUUUACUCAAUUCUUGCCUCUUUCUAUCUUUUCUAUCUCUUGCCUUCCCUUCCCCAUCACCCCAAUUCUUAAUAGUGUCCGUCCUCCCCUUUCUUAAUCUCCCUUAUUAACAUUUGUAAUAAACUGGUCG